CCUACGGGUGGCAGCAGUGAGGAAUAUUGGUCAAUGGGCGCAAGCCUGAACCAGCCAAGUAGCGUGAAGGAUGACUGCCCUACGGGUUGUAAACUUCUUUUAUAAAGGGAUAAAGUGAGGCACGUGUGCAUUUUUGUAUGUACUUUAUGAAUAAGGAUCGGCUAAUUCCGUGCCAGCAGCCGCGGUAAUACGGAGGGUCCGGGCGUUAUCCGGAUUUAUUGGGUUUAAAGGGAGCGUAGGUGGGUUUUUAAGUCAGUUGUGAAAGUUUGCGGCUCAACCAUGAAAUUGCAAUUGAUACUGGCAGUCUUGAGUACAGUUGAGGCAGGCGGAAUUCGUGGUGUAGCGGUGAAAUGCUUAGAUAUCACGAAGAACUCCGAUUGCGAAGGCAGCUUACUAAACUGCCACUGACAUUGAUGCUCGAAAGUGUGGGUAUCAAACAGGAUUAGAUACCCGGGUAGUC
rnacentral:rRNA from 1 species